AUUGCCCUUCGAAUAACCAGAAGGUGAAACACAAAUCUCAUACCAUUUGCUUCAUAUUGGGCACACAUUGUUUGAAAGCCUUUUGAUGGUGAUGAACUCCAUUUCUUCAUCCUUGGUUCGUUUUCGAACAUUU